GACGAACGCUGGCGGCGUGCCUAAUACAUGCAAGUCGAGCGGACUUGAUGAGGAGCUUGCUCCUCUGAAGGUUAGCGGCGGACGGGUGAGUAACACGUAGGCAACCUGCCUGUAAGACUGGGAUAACUACCGGAAACGGUAGCUAAUACCGGAUAAUUUAUUUCUUCGCCUGGAGAGAUAAUGAAAGACGGAGCAAUCUGUCACUUACGGAUGGGCCUGCGGCGCAUUAGCUAGUUGGUGGGGUAACGGCUCACCAAGGCGACGAUGCGUAGCCGACCUGAGAGGGUGAACGGCCACACUGGGACUGAGACACGGCCCAGACUCCUACGGGAGGCAGCAGUAGGGAAUCUUCCGCAAUGGGCGAAAGCCUGACGGAGCAACGCCGCGUGAGUGAUGAAGGUUUUCGGAUCGUAAAGCUCUGUUGCCAGGGAAGAACGUCCGGUAGAGUAACUGCUACCGGAGUGACGGUACCUGAGAAGAAAGCCCCGGCUAACUACGUGCCAGCCGCCGCCGUAACAC
rnacentral:rRNA from 1 species